rnacentral:piRNA from 1 species
UUCGCUAUUUCUAUGCCAUGU